rnacentral:rRNA from 1 species
AUUGAACGCUGGCGGCAUGCCUUACACAUGCAAGUCGAACGGCAGCACGGGUGCUUGCACCUGGUGGCGAGUGGCGAACGGGUGAGUAAUACAUCGGAACAUGUCCUGUAGUGGGGGAUAGCCCGGCGAAAGCCGGAUUAAUACCGCAUACGAUCUACGGAUGAAAGCGGGGGACCUUCGGGCCUCGCGCUAUAGGGUUGGCCGAUGGCUGAUUAGCUAGUUGGUGGGGUAAAGGCCUACCAAGGCGACGAUCAGUAGCUGGUCUGAGAGGACGACCAGCAAGACUGGGACUGAGACACGGCCCAGACUCAUACGGGAGGCAGCAGUGGGGAAUUUUGGACAAUGGGCGAAAGGCUGAUCCAGAAAUGCCGCGUGUGUGAAGAAGGCCUUCGGGUUGUAAAGCACUUUGGUCCGGAAAGAAAUCCUUGGCCCUAAUACGGUCGGGGGAUGACGGUACCGGAAGAAUAAGUACCGGCUAACUACGUG